AGACUCCUACGGGAGGCAGCAGUGGGGAAUUUUGGACAAUGGGCGCAAGCCUGAUCCAGCCAUGCCGCGUGCGGGAAGAAGGCCUUCGGGUUGUAAACCGCUUUUGUCAGGAACGAAACGGUGUUGGCUAAUAACCAGCGCUAAUGACGGUACCUGAAGAAUAAGCACCGGCUAACUACGUGCCAGCAGCCGCGGUAAUACGUAGGGUGCAAGCGUUAAUCGGAAUUACUGGGCGUAAAGCGUGCGCAGGCGGUUAUGUAAGACAGGUGUGAAAUCCCCGGGCUCAACCUGGGAACUGCAUUUGUGACUGCAUAGCUAGAGUUUGUCAGAGGGGGGUGGAAUUCCACGUGUAGCAGUGAAAUGCGUAGAUAUGUGGAAGAACACCGAUGGCGAAGGCAGCCCCCUGGGAUAAGACUGACGCUCAUGCACGAAAGCGUGGGAGCAAACAGGAUUAGAUACCCUGGUAGUCCACGCCCUAAACGAUGUCGACUAGUUGUCGGGGGCUAACACCCUUGGUAACGCAGCUAACGCGUGAAGUCGACCGCCUGGGGAGUACGGUCGCAAGAUUAAAACUCAAAGGAAUUGACGGGGACCCGCACAAGCGGUGGAUGAUGUGGAUUAAUUCGAUGCAACGCGAAAAACCUUACCUACCCUUGACAUGCUAGGAACGCUGGAGAGAUCUGGCGGUGCCCGAAAGGGAGCCUAGACACAGGUGCUGCAUGGCUGUCGUCAGCUCGUGUCGUGAGAUGUUGGGUUAAGUCCCGCAACGAGCGCAACCCUUGCCAUUAGUUGUUACGAAAAGGCACUUUAAUGGGACUGCCGGUGACAAACCGGAGGAAGGUGGGGAUGACGUCAAGUCCUCAUGGCCCUUAUGGGUAGGGCUUCACACGUCAUACAAUGGUCGGUACAGAGGGUUGCCAACCCGCGAGGGGGAGCUAAUCCCAGAAAACCGAUCGUAGUCCGGAUUGCAGUCUGCAACUCGACUGCAUGAAGUCGGAAUCGCUAGUAAUCGCGGAUCAGCAUGUCGCGGUGAAUACGUUCCCGGGUCUUGUACACACCGCCCGU
rnacentral:rRNA from 1 species